rnacentral:rRNA from 1 species
UACAGAGGUCCCAAGCGUUGUUCGGAUUCACUGGGCGUAAAGGGUGCGUAGGUGGUCGGAUAAGUUUGAUGUGAAAUCUCCGGGCUUAACCCGGAAACUGCAUUGGAUACUAUCCGGCUCGAGGAAUGGAGGGGAGACUGGAAUACUUGGUGUAGCAGUGAAAUGCGUAGAUAUCAAGUGGAACACCAGUGGCGAAGGCGAGUCUCUGGACAUUUCCUGACGCUGAGGCACGAAAGCCAGGGGAGCAAACGGG